rnacentral:rRNA from 1 species
GAAAGCGAGAUAGAGUGGCGCACGGGUGAGUAACGCGUAAAUAAUCUACCCUGAUGUCUGGGAUAACCCUUCGAAAGGGGGACUAAUACCGGCUAUAUUCAUAACUGUUGGGUUAUGAAGGAAAGGUGGCCUCUAUUUAUAAGCUAUCGCAUUGGGAUGAGUUUGCGUACCAUUAGUUAGUUGGUGGGGUAAUGGCCUACCAAGGCGACGAUGGUUAGCGGGUCUGAGAGGAUGAUCCGUCACACUGGCACUGGAACACGGGCCAGACUCCUACGGGAGGCAGCAGUGAGGAAUAUUGCGCAACGGGGGAAACCCUGACGCAGCGACGCCGCGUGAGUGAGGAAGGCCUUCGGGUCGUAAAGCUCUGUCAGAAGGGAAGAAAUGUGUAUGAGUUAAUACCUGAUACAUUUGACGGUACCUUCAGAGGAAGCACCGGCUAACUCCGUGCCAGCAGCCGCGGUAAUACGGAGGGUGCGAGCGUUGUUCGGAAUCACUGGGCGUAAAGGGCGCGCAGGCGGUUUCAUUAGUCAGAUGUGAAAGCCCACGGCUUAACCGUGGAGGUGCAUUUGAAACUGUGAGACUUGAGUACCAGAGGGGA